rnacentral:lncRNA from 1 species
UCCGGCAACUUCCUCCACCUUGACCGGGAGGAGGGCCUUGUGCGACGAUCUCAGUCCCGCGGGGCCUGGGAGGUAGCGGCCGUGAGCGCUGGCCCGCCGCUGCGGGACGCACUCCCCGGCCUGUGCACUGACCGCGGGCUGCGGGGCACCAGGCUACGUCCCAACCCUGCGGCUCUAUCGCGCUUGUCAUCUGGGUUCUCCGGUGCAGGGGCGGGCCACAGCGCCGCCAUCGCUCAGAGCCCAGGGAAAGAUGAUCCCGCGACUGUCCGGCCAAAAGCAACCCCGAGACUCGGGUUCUCGAAUGAACUUGGGUCGAGACCACACGAGAAGAGCGAGUUUCGUUUUCAGGUGCUCCCACGGCAGACCCUCUUGGUCUCCCCAACCCCCAUCCUGGCAGAGCCCCGGAGCGCCACAUUUCCGGGCUCAGCUUUCUGGCAUCCCGAUUCUGUGUCCUGGUGGGCCCUCGGGAGGAUCUGCCCUUGA